UUGGACCUCUCACACAAUCACACCUGCUAUAAAGGUUUCGCCCCAUCACUGAUGGCCACAAAGCUGGCAUUGUCCUUUGGAGAAUUCCGCAUGUAAGGGGUGCGGAUGGGGGAAAUGGAGGCUUUAUUGGCAAGAGGGGAGUCAGCACUUGCAAGAGGAAAGGGAGCCAGCUUUGAGCUCUUCAGCACCAGCCGCACGUGUUUCCUUCAACCCCAGGAGGAAGGUAUUAAAAGCUCCACCCUUACCCCUGAGAACGCUGUUUCUCUCAGAGGCAGAGCAACUUCCUCAAGGUCACACAGCACAAAGUGGCUGAUGUCAAGAGAGUGAAAGUUGGAAAUGUUCUGCAUUAAAGGAGCUUAAGGAGACAUGACAAGCUGAUGCACAACUGAUGCCCGAGUGGAAACCGUCCUGAAAGGGGAGACGCCACCCAGGCGUGUUAUGGUCACUUGACAAAACAGAAUGUGAGCAGCCUUGGAGACAAGAGUCGUGUCGAAUUUGAACAUCUGUGGUGGGACCUCUGCUGCGAUUGUGAAGAAGCAAUUGCUGGGUGUCAUAUAAUGAGCUGAUGGGUGUUUCCUGAGACUCACUCCACGGACCUUUCACCUCUCCUCUGUCUCAGUGUGUCCCCUCUGUCUGAAACUCCAGCAUUGCUGAUCCAUUCCUGCAGGUCCGCCCGCCCCGGGUGGAAGUGCACAUACCCAGGACAGGUAUCCGUCCUUCAGAUCUUGAGGACACCGAGCUGUACUGCAACGUCUCUAUUCAUUGCUAGCCGAGACCUGGGGGUGAGGAUUGUCAUGUGCUUGUGGCACAGGGUGGUGCCAAGGACAAGGCGUCCUUGAGGGAACUGUCAAGUGGGCAAAUGACACAGUAUGAAAAACAGUGGGUUUGGAAAGGCACAGAGCCGGGAGCUGCUGGAGGAGGAAGAAGGAAAGAGCAGAACAGACCCAGCGACCACCCACCACCUCACCUGGCAUCUUGAGAGGGCUGAUCCAGGUUCCCUGGGACGGGGAGGAGUGCACUUCUUCUUACCCUCCCCUGCCAGGGCUUCAUUGUCUCUGGAAAGUGAAUACACAGCCACUUUGGUCCAGGGACUCCCCACCCAGUGUCACCCUGUACGUGUCUUUUGGGUCAACCUUGCCAGCUUUAGAUCUAACAAUAAUGACGAUGUUUUUCCACGUAAAGAAACUAAAACUUAAUCUUGCUUGUUAUUAAAGAAGUGGAACAAAAUGAAUAACUAUUUUACAUGAUUUACACAGUCUCCUGCCUUGCCUCAUCGCCUGCAUCUUGGUGACCGUGGGGAGCUUGACAGCAGUGACGACACACCAGUGUCAUCAGGCAUCUCCUUCCCAGGGUGGUCUCCCACGGGCAGGUCACACUCCUCAAGUGGGGCUGUAGAAGGCUGGUCACUGUGGCUGACGGCUCAUGAGAAUCCUAAGCUACAGCUUUUUUCUAGAAGCUCCUGCCACCCCAAGAAUCAGGUAUGAACUCUUGCAAAGCAUAUAAACCCCUGGACAAUCUGGUCCUUGACUCUCUACUAUCAUCUCUGACUGUCCCCAUGCCCUACCUCCAAUUCAGAGUAUACUGCAUUUCUUCCAUUUCCCAGAUAUUGUCUUACCUUGACUCACAUUUAAGCAAAUAAUCUUCCCUAUGCCCAGAAUGCCCCUUCUCCUAACUUUUCCUGCUAAACUCUGGGUUUAAUGUUGUUGGUGGUGGUGGUGGUGGGUUUUUUGUUGUUGUUGUUUUGUUUUUGUUUUUCUGUAUUGAGGAUUGAACCUAGGGGUGCUUUACCACUGAGAGACAUCCCCAACAGGUUCUUGCUAAGUUGCUUAGGGCCUUGCUAAGUUGCUGAGGCUGGCUUUGAACUUUUGAUCCUCCUGUCUCAGCCUCCUGAGCCACUGGGAUUACAGACAUGUAUCACUGUGCCCAUUUGGUAUGUUCUUUUUGUCCAACCUAAAUACCACUUCUUCCUGGAAGCCUCCCCUACAUCCUAACCUCCUCCUAUGGGCUUGCCAGUACCAAGGUCUUGAUGUAGGAUCCUUCCUAACCUGGUAAAAGCCUGUUCCCAUGACAGUCCCAGGAAGUAAGGACUACAUCUUAUUCUCUCAGUUACUGUCCACAAUCUAGUACUGAAGGAUGACUCAAGAAAUAUUUGUUUCAGCAAUGAAGAGAGAAAAGGGCACCAAAGAGUAAUUUUAAACUGACUGACUCUCCAAGUCUACCAUGCGGCCUUUGAGUGAAGCUCAUGAUUUUGCUAUGUGACAGGUAGUUUUGGAAAUCAGCAGAUCUCCGCUGAACAGGCCUGGUUUCAAAGCCCACACCUGUGACUCAUUAACCUCUGUACACCUCAGUUUCCUCACCUGUACAAUGCAGAUCGGCACUGCCUCCAUCUCCCCGUGUCACUGUGCAGAUCAAAGGGCACCGACCCAUGCCAUGCUCACGCUGUCCCCAGCCCCAACACACCCUGGAUAAAUGUUAGUCAUUAUAAUCAGGAUUUGUUAUAUUAUUAUCAUGAUUACAAUGACAAAAGUCACAUUAAAAGUGAAGAAAAGUCAAGCAUAGAUGUUCGGGAGGCUGCUACCAUGGAAACCUGGUUAGGUAGCUGAAAUGUAACUGAUGGCUCAACCAGAUGUCGGAUGUACCACAGCAUCUGGGCAUCUGCAAGCAGAAGCUACCUCCACAAACAAGAUCUCAGUUUCCUUUGUUAAAAUCAAACCUGAUUAGGUAAAAAUAAAGCAUAACAUUUCACAAUUCUGGCCCUCCAAUGCCAGCAAAGACAGGUGUGUUCUGCUAGAUCUUGUCUGAAAUCCGAGUACCCUUACCAGGCACAUUCACCUAUAGAAAAUAGUGUCCUAGCUACUCUCAGUCCUGCAGAAGUGGCUCUAGCAGGUUCAGGAGCCCACAAAUGGAAAGGCAGCCUGGCAGAGGUGAGGCUCACUGCCUUGAGGCACCAACAUCACCCCAGCUUACCAACUAUGCCACCUUGGGGAACUGGCUUUACUUCUCUGUGCUUCAAUUUCUUCAUCUUUGAAAUGCGGCUGACGACAUCAUCUAUCUCACAGGAUUCCAUAAGGGGAAUAAAUGAGUUAAAGUUUGUAAAAUGCUUAGAACAGCAUCAUAUCCUAUGUAUUUGGUUAAAAAAAAAAGUAAUAAAACUUUGAAUCCAACUCAAACCAGAGAGAAAAUUAUAGACUGUGACCUCAGAGCCCCGGGGACUAUGGAUGUGUGUAUUUAUUCCUGCAUUUGUGCUUCAAAAUAACUGUUCAGAAGGGCAUAAAGGAGGCAGAAAGAAAAUCCUAUUUGUUCUGCCUGUGAAGCUGGCAAUUCCUAUGUGGGAGAAAUCAAUGAGCAUUUGAUAAACAGUCUGCAACCCUCCCCGGCAAAUCCCUAAAAUGGAUUCUGCUAAGAUCCCUGGCUUUCAAGCCUUCCAUGAGGAAGACAACAAUAAACACAGGCUUUUCUCUAAGAA